rnacentral:rRNA from 1 species
UACAGAGGUCCCAAGCGUUGUUCGGAUUUACUGGGCGUAAAGGGUGCGUAGGUGGCGAGGUAAGUUUGAUGUGAAAUCUCCGAGCUCAACUCGGAAAUGGCAUUGAAUACUAUCCCGCUUGAGGGUCGGAGGGGAGACUGGAAUUCUCGGUGUAGCAGUGAAAUGCGUAGAUAUCGAGAGGAACACCGGUGGCGAAGGCGGCGACCUGGGUAGAUACUGACGCUGAGGCGCGAAAGCGUGGGGAGCAAACAGG